GGGGAUAUAGCUCAGUUGGUAGAGUGCUUGCCUUUCAUGCACAAGGCCCUGGGUUCAAUCCUCAGCACCA
rnacentral:tRNA from 1 species